GGGAGAGCCCACAAGACAAACAGCAGAGGAUUUUCAGGUUGGUUUCAAGGGCAGCCAACUGGGCUGUGUAUAGGGAGUGGGAGGACAGGGGUGGUGUUGAUGGUCUUCCUUCCGAGGCUUCUCAAAUGUAAAUGCUCUUUUCUUAACAAGCUGACCCACUGCACACCAUGCCAUACUAAUGAGCAAUUCUGCUUGGUCAACAAAGGGUGCAAGAGGUUGUGGAAAACCCACAGUAGGGCUUACAUUUGGCUAUCACUAUGCCCUGCAUGUAGAUCUCAAAGCAUUGUGCCUAAAAGUCCUUACUGAGGUUUGGUAGGAAGGAUAUUAAACCAGAAUAACUUGAGAUACUAGCCAAAGUUUAUUUUUGUGGUUGGGAUUAUUUUGCUACAUUCGGACAGAGAGAAAUGCAUUUAGGCAGGCUGGCAUGAUUUGCGCUGGAUAUUUGACCAGGCAAUCAGAAGCAAGGAAAGGAAGAAAGCCAGGCAAGGGGGAAGGGGUGACAUCAAACGUGCCUUCUGUAUUUCGUUACAGAAAACAGCUCACAAUUAUGACUACCUGCCUUGUUUUGCAGCUCAGAAUAAAAGUGGUGUUGCACCAAACCCUACUGGAGCAGCCUUCGUGAUUAGAAAGUACUCCACACAUUGGAGAGCCGAGGAGACAUGAGAAUAAUUUUAAAUGCAAAUUAAAUUGAGGGGGUAGCAGAGAAGAACACAUAAAAGACAGUAAAACAAAACCUUUCAAUUUUCUUAAAUUAGCAGUCUAAUGUGUUCUAAAGAGCAGCUCCACUCAGAUCGCUUCUUAAGGGUUGCAUUUCAUCACAGUAUAAAUGGGCAAAUCCAUCACUUCCCUCUGCUCAGUGCUCUUAAAGCGAGAUUGAAGGGAAAAUUAGAAGCUGUUCAUUUGGGCUUGCGGGCUCAGAAGCGUCGCACUGCUUUGUUUUGUACUCUACCGUGUCCUGUUGAAAGGGGUCAACAAGUGCCGGGGAGGGUGCAGAGGCUGAGGCUGGCGUCACCUUCCGUUGCUAAGGUAACGUGCUCUGGCCAUUUUAUCUGA
rnacentral:lncRNA from 1 species